GACAGCAGUCGCCGCGGUAAUACGAAGGGGGCUAGCGUUGCUCGGAACGACUGGGCGUAAAGGGCGCGUAGGCGGUUCCUUAAGUCUGAUGUGAAAGCCCCCGGCUCAACCGGGGAGGGUCAUUGGAAACUGGGAAACUUGAGUGCAGAAGAGGAGAGUGGAAUUCCACGUGUAGCGGUGAAAUGCGUAGAGAUGUGGAGGAACACCAGUGGCGAAGGCGACUCUCUGGUCUGUAACUGACGCUGAGGAGCGAAAGCGUGGGGAGCGAACAGGAUUAGAUACCCCAGUAGUCCCUGUCUCUUAUAA
rnacentral:rRNA from 1 species